AUGAAUGAUGUUUAUGAAAAUGAACUUGCUAUUGUUCCUUAUGUUAAACAUGAAAUUAUUGCUAUUGCACCUAAACAUGAUAGUCCUAUUAUCUUUUUGAAUUCUCCAAACUACACUAUAUUGGAGAAGUUUGCACUGAUUAAGGAUAAUAUUGUUGGGUUGCCUUUUACUGUUGCACAUGAUGAUUUUGAUGAAUAUAAUAUGCAUGUGCUUUCUGCUCCUAGUUGCAAUUAUUAUGAGAGAGGAACUACAUCUCUACCUCUCUAUGUUUCCAACACGAUAAAAAUGCAACAAACUGCUUAUGCUAUGUAUUGGCUCUUACUUUGUGUGCAUGGAUUGUUCUUUUAUGACAUGCUGAUGCAUAGAAAGAGAGUUAGACUUUGUCAUUGCAUGAUAUAUGUUGCUUUUUUCUCAUUACUAAAUUAUAAAUCAUUGUUAAUUAAAAAUGGCUUUGAUAUACCUUGGGAUCCGGGUGGAUCAAUUACUUGA
rnacentral:rRNA from 1 species